rnacentral:rRNA from 1 species
CCUACGGGGCGCAGCAGUCGAGAAUCAUUCACAAUGGGGGAAACCCUGAUGGUGCGACGCCGCGUGGGGGAAUGAAGGUCUUCGGAUUGUAAACCCCUGUCAUGUGGGAGCAAAUUAAAAAGAUAGUACCACAAGAGGAAGAGACGGCUAACUCUGUGCCAGCAGCCGCGGUAAUACAGAGGUCUCAAGCGUUGUUCGGAAUCACUGGGCGUAAGGCGUGCGUAGGCUGUUUCGUAAGUCGUGUGUGAAAGGCGCGGGCUCAACCCGCGGACGGCACAUGAUACUGCGAGACUAGAGUAAUGGAGGGGGAACCGGAAUGCUCGGUGUAGCAGUGAAAUGCGUAGAUAUCGAGCGGAACACUCGUGGCGAAGGCGGGUUCCUGGACAUUAACUGACGCUGAGGCACGAAGGCCAGGGGAGCGAAAGGGAUUAGAUACCCGGGUAGUC